rnacentral:rRNA from 1 species
GACGAACGCUGGCGGCGUGCUUAACACAUGCAAGUCGAACGAAGUGGCGAACGGGUGAGUAACGCGUAAUCAACCUGCCCUUCAGAGGGGGACAACAGUUGGAAACGACUGCUCAUACCGCAUACUGAAGGAGGGGACUGCGUCGGGUUAGCUAGUUGGAGGGGUAACGGCCCACCAAGGCGAUGAUCCGUAGGCGGGCGGAGAGGAUGAACGGCCACAUUGGGACUGAGAAACGGCCCAGAAGCCUACGGGAGGCAGCAGUGGGGAAUCUUCCGCAAUGGACGAAAGGCUGACGGAGCAACGCCGCGUGAGUGAUGACGGCCUUCGGGUUGUAAAGCUCUGUUAAUCGGGACGCGGUACCGGAAUAGAAAGCCACGGCUAACUACGUGCCAGCAGCCGCGGUAAUUC